rnacentral:rRNA from 1 species
UACGAAGGGGGCGAGCGUUGUUCGGAUUUACUGGGCGUAAAGGGCGCGCAGGCGGCGAUCUUUGUCAGGCGUGAAAGCCCCGGGCUUAACCUGGGAACUGCGCUUGGGACGGGAUUGCUGGAGACCGGGAGAGGAGAGUGGAAUUCCCAGUGUAGAGGUGAAAUUCGUAGAUAUUGGGAAGAACACCGGUGGCGAAGGCGGCUCUCUGGGGACCACCUGACGCUGAGGCGCGAAAGCGUGGGGAGCGAACCGG